UUAAAUUGAAGAGUUUGAUCAUGGCUCAGAUUGAACGCUGGCGGCAGGCCUAACACAUGCAAGUCGAACGGUAACAGGAAGCAGCUUGCUGCUUCGCUGACGAGUGGCGGACGGGUGAGUAAUGUCUGGGAAACUGCCUGAUGGAGGGGGAUAACUACUGGAAACGGUAGCUAAUACCGCAUAAUGUCGCAAGACCAAAGAGGGGGACCUUCGGGCCUCUUGCCAUCGGAUGUGCCCAGAUGGGAUUAGCUUGUUGGUGGGGUAACGGCUCACCAAGGCGACGAUCCCUAGCUGGUCUGAGAGGAUGACCAGCCACACUGGAACUGAGACACGGUCCAGACUCCUACGGGAGGCAGCAGUGGGGAAUAUUGCACAAUGGGCGCAAGCCUGAUGCAGCCAUGCCGCGUGUAUGAAGAAGGCCUUCGGGUUG
rnacentral:rRNA from 1 species